rnacentral:rRNA from 1 species
AGUGAACGCUGGCGGUAGGCCUAACACAUGCAAGUCGAACGGCAGCACAGUAAGAGCUUGCUCUUACGGGUGGCGAGUGGCGGACGGGUGAGGAAUACAUCGGAAUCUACUUUUUCGUGGGGGAUAACGUAGGGAAACUUACGCUAAUACCGCAUACGACCUACGGGUGAAAGCAGGGGAUCUUCGGACCUUGCGCGAUUGAAUGAGCCGAUGUCGGAUUAGCUAGUUGGCGGGGUAAAGGCCCACCAAGGCAACGAUCCGUAGCUGGUCUGAGAGGAUGAUCCGGCACACUGGAACUACGACACGGUCCAGACUCCUACGGGAGGCAGCAGUGGGGAAUAUUGGACAAUGGGCGAAAGCCUGAUCCAGCCAUACCGCGUGGGUGAAGAAGGCCUUCGGGUUGUAAAGCCCUUUUGUUGGGAAAGAAAAGCAGCAGGUUAAUAACCCGCUGUUCUGACGGUACCCAAAGAAUAAGCACCGGCUAACUUCGUG